UGAUUUACAAAUGCAUGUUGCUGGUUGCUGCAUGCUUUCGUGUUUCACAAUACUUACCAAUAGAUAUGUGACCCUUCAACUGAUGAAAUUAUGCCCACUUUGAAAGGAGACGACCAAGCUGCUACUUAACAUUUGUGAUCAUAUUGUUAGUACUCCUAAUGUUUCAGAGAUCACUCAUAAGAAUGAUUGCAUGCGAUCUACCCUUAUUCUAGUCAUAAUUUUGCUCUUUAACAUUGGAUGGAUCUAUAUGAUCCAACAGUGUGG
rnacentral:lncRNA from 1 species